rnacentral:piRNA from 1 species
UCAUGCCGCGAAGUGGCCUUUCCUAGCCUAA